rnacentral:rRNA from 1 species
GACGAACGCUGGCGGCGUGCUUAACACAUGCCAGUCGAACGGAAAGGCCCUGCUUUUGUGGGGUGCUCGAGUGGCGAACGGGUGAGAAACACGUGAGUAACCUGCCCUUGACUUUGGGAUAACUUCAGGAAACGGGGGCUAAUACCGGAUAGGAGCUCCUGCUGCAUGGUGGGGGUUGGAAAGUUUCGGCGGUUGGGGAUGGACUCGCGGCUUAUCAGCUUGUUGGUGGGGUAGUGGCUUACCAAGGCUUUGACGGGUAGCCGGCCUGAGAGGGUGACCGGCCACAUUGGGACUGAGAUACGGCCCAGACUCCUACGGGAGGCAGCAGUGGGGAAUAUUGCACAAUGGGCGGAAGCCUGAUGCAGCAACGCCGCGUGCGGGAUGACGGCCUUCGGGUUGUAAACCGCUUUCGCCUGUGACGAAGCGUGAGUGACGGUAAUGGGUAAAGAAGCACCGGCUAACUACGUG